GAUGAACGCUGGCGGCGUGCCUAAUACAUGCAAGUCGAGCGAACGGACGAGAAGCUUGCUUCUCUGAUGUUAGCGGCGGACGUGUGAGUAACACGUGUAUAACCUACCUAUAAGACUGGGAUAACUUCGGGAAACCGUAGCUAAUACCGGAUAAUAUUUUGAACCGCAUGGGUCAAAGGUGAAAGACGGUCUUGCUGUCACUUCUAGAUGGAUCCGCGCUGCAUUAGCUAGUUGGUACGGUAACGGCUUACCAAGGCAACGAGGCGUAGCCGACCUGAGAGGGUGAUCGGCCGCACGGGAACUGAGACACGGUCCAGAGUCCUACGGGAGGCAGCAGUAGGGAAUCUUCCGCAAUGGGCGAAAGCAUGACGGAGCAACGGCGCGUGAGUUACGAAGGUCUUCGGAUCGUAAAACUCUGUUAUUAGGGAAGAACAUAUGUGUAAGUAACUGUGCACAGCUUGACGGUACCUAAUCAGAAAGCCCCGGCUAACUACGUG
rnacentral:rRNA from 1 species